AUUCGUUUCGGAGAACAUCUCAUUGUUGCAAAGAAAGUUGUACUCUGGGUUGUACGUUGGCAAGCAGAGGCUGGAAACCGGUGUGCAGAGAAGUGCCAGAGCGAGGAGGGUCCGCGCGAACCACAUUGUUUUGCCCUGUUGAACGGAGGACUGCAAAAGUGCCUUACCUGCACUGUUUGGAUGAGAAGAGUCUUCUGAAGUGAAGCACUGUUAGUCAACCAGAACUUUUGGAUCGUAAAUCCAAAGUGUUAUUAAAAAGGUAAGCAAGCCAACAACUCAAUGUCAACUUAAAUAAGAGUGAUUUAGGGGGUUUGAUAUCUCCCUGGCUGCUGAUAAUAUCCGUUUGAACUGUUUGCCCAAUGGACGUGCAUUCAUUUAGUAUAAGCCCAUUUACGCUGCAGUCGUACGCCAGCAAUAACGUCAUUUAUUGGGAUCCUCCCAGUAAAAUGAGGCGGUGAUUAAUGCGCUCGUGCACCAAACGCGCGUUUACUGUCACCAUAUAAAACAGAUAGACGACUGUGUGCUUAAUAUUUGUUGAACGCGAUGAGAUAUGUACAGACAUCCUGAAUUAUAGCAAAAGUUUAUUACUAUUUUUAGCUGUAGAUAAACUAACCCGAGAUCAUGAGAGAACUAUUUUACGAAGUGUGGGUUUUUGCCAUGAAUUCGUACGAUGGGAUUCGUACGAAAACGUACGAUUUUUAGGGGGGAAAAAAAUGCAUUUGCUCUGACAGUCCUGUUUGGAGCUGAAGCGGUUCCUAUUUCCUCCGCAGCCACCGUACACAAAAGGACGGCAUUCUCCUGAGACGGCGUAGUAGUACCAGAGCAGGACAUAUUCAGUGCAGUGGCCCUCGGACAUGGGUUCAAGGCACAGCUCAGCAUCCGGGUCUGCAUUCAGUGGAGAGAGUGCUGAUGGUUCUUCUCAAUCUAUCAAAGGAACUGCAGCGUACUGAACGCUAGUCGUGGUGGAGGCAGCAUGGAUGAAUGACAUCAUCAUUGUGCGACGGGAAAGGAGGCUCUCCCAAAGUAAUGCCGGCCAGUCAGAUCCUCCCCCUCUUUUACCCUUCACAGUUUCUACACACUUGAAUGUCUCUCUUACAGAGUUUAGGGGAGCUCCUGUGUUAAGAAAAUAAAUAUAUUAAAGAAAACCUGUAGCUGAUCUGUAAGCUAUGAAGCGUGUUUUCAUUCUGCAAGUACACAAAAUCACGACUACAGUGCAGUGCAGUGCAUGCUGGGAUGUCAGUGUGUUACUUCAUGAUGACAUUUCAUUAUAUAUUCAUUUUUAUGUUCUUGAAACUCACACUUUAUACUUAUACACUGACGUUGACUGUUUAAAAUGCAUUUGAACUUACGCAAAAUAUCGUUUGCACUGGUGAAAUUCGCUGAUUUUGUCAUGCAAAAAAUAAAAUGCAUGCUAAUUAAAUGACUCAAAUUCAUUUAUCAGUUGCAGUAAGCUAAAGUGUCCAACAAACAUGCUAAAAGAAAAUAUUCCCCAAGCUCUAGUUAGUUCAUGCUUCAAACAAAAGCCACAUGCAAGAUUUGCAGCAUGAGCUGUGGAAUAAAACAGAGCAAAAAGGCAAAACAGAAGGAAGCCAGAAAGCAAAAUCACAGACAAACGUUUACCUCCUCUCCAGUUUGUGUUGUAUUUAGCACUGAUAAUAAUGUGGUUUCAGGUGGCUUCUGUGAAACACACAAAAUAAGUUAAUGUGUAACAUAAGCUUUAAGCUGCUGAAGUGAACGUAGUGUCG